UGGGGAAUAUUGCACAAUGGGGGAAACCCUGAUGCAGCGACGCCGCGUGAACGAAGAAGGUAUUCGUAUCGUAAAGUUCUGUCCUAUGGGAAGAUAAUGACAGUACCAUAGAAGAAAGCUCCGGCUAAAUACGUGCCAGCAGCCGCGGUAAUACGUAUGGAGCGAGCGUUGUCCGGAAUUAUUGGGCGUAGAGGGUACGCAGGCGGUUUAAUAAGUCGAAUGUUAAAGAUCGGGGCUCAACCCCGUAAAGCAUUGGAAACUGAUAAACUUGAGUAGUGGAGAGGAAAGUGGAAUUCCUAGUGUAGUGGUGAAAUACGUAGAUAUUAGGAGGAAUACCAGUAGCGAAGGCGACUUUCUGGACACAAACUGACGCUGAGGUACGAAAGCGUGGGGAGCAAACAGG
rnacentral:rRNA from 1 species